UACAGAGGGUGCAAACGUUGCUCGGAAUCAUUGGGCGUAAAGCGCACGUAGGCGGCCCAGCAAGCGGGGAGUGAAAGCCCUCGGCUUAACCGAGGAAGUGCUUUCCGAACUACUGGGCUUGAAUACUGGAGCGGGUCGCGGAAUUCCCGGUGUAGAGGUGAAAUUCGUAGAUAUCGGGAGGAACACCAGUGGCGAAGGCGGCGACCUGGACAGAUAUUGACGCUGAGGUGCGAAAGCGUGGGGAGCAAACAGG
rnacentral:rRNA from 1 species